GAUACCUGGGAUAAGGAGAAGGAUUCAAGAGGAACAACGGUGUACCAAUCGUGUGAUUGAGAGGUUAGGUGCGGAGCCUCACUCGAAUAGUGAUGCAAACGUGAGGUUGCAAAAACUAAAAUUUCAAUUAAAAUCUUGAAAAUUAGUUAAUCUUUUUUUUUUGUUUUGAGAAUUUUAGAGAACUUCAAUCACCAUAAGCAAAAUAGUAAAUAAAAUUUCAGCAAGAAAGUAAUAAUAAAAUUCAACUAAGAGCAAUACAAAGAUAAUAGGGAGCACACUAUAUAAGGAACAAUAAUAUUACUCAAUUAAAUUACUUAUAAAUUUUUUCACAAAAGUAGUAAGUUUGAUCCUAUCGGGCAUAAAAUUUUUAGUUUUCGGUUGAUUCAGCAAGGGUUGAUGAUAGUGGAGGGAUGGCUGGAAAAUAAUGAUACCUGGGAUAAGGAGAGGUCAGGAUUCAAGAGGGACAACAAUGUACCGAUCGCGUGACUGCGGGGGAUCUACGGCUGACGAGGAUAGCGGCCUCACCACAGGUAGAAUUUCAGCAAGAGGGAAAGGAAGGAAAAGAGGGGCAGCAAGCCGGAAGAAGUAUUGUUGAAGAGGAAGAAGCCAACCAUGCCGUGAGGAAGAAGCGACACGAUCAAUGGGAGAAAGGA
rnacentral:lncRNA from 1 species